rnacentral:rRNA from 1 species
AUUGAACGCUGGCGGCAUGCCUUACACAUGCAAGUCGAACGGCAGCACGGGUGCUUGCACCUGGUGGCGAGUGGCGAACGGGUGAGUAAUACAUCGGAACGUACCUUAUCGUGGGGGAUAACGCAGCGAAAGCUGUGCUAAUACCGCAUACGCCCUGAGGGGGAAAGCGGGGGAUCGCAAGACCUCGCGCGAUUAGAGCGGCCGAUGCCUGAUUAGCUAGUUGGUGGGGUAAAAGCCCACCAAGGCGACGAUCAGUAGCUGGUCUGAGAGGACGAUCAGCCACACUGGGACGGGGACACGGCCCAGACUCCUACGGGAGGCAGCAGUGGGGGAUUUUGGACAAUGGGGGCAACCCUGAUCCAGCAAUGCCGCGUGAGUGAAGAAGGCCUUCGGGUUGUAAAGCUCUUUUGUCAGGGAAGAAACACCGGCUCUAACACAGUCCGGGAAUGACGGUACCUGAAGAAUAAGCACCGGCUAACUACGUGCCAGCAGCCGCCGUAA